ensembl:lncRNA
CCAACUCACUUGAUGUCAAAGGGAAUAAUUGUCUACUCCAAUGGCAACAGUUCAUGUCCUACAGGCAAAGUCUCAAUUCCACCAAAUCCAGUUUCUCAUCUUGAUAAACAGCCAGCAAAUGCUGUAACAGUCCAACCUGCAUAUGAUAUAACAUUGGGUACGGGCCAGUCUGUUGGUAUUACGAACGGAGCACCAGUAAAUAAUGUUGUAGUCUCCUCUGCAUCUUCCCACAUACCUGUAGCAACUCUUAUUCCUGCUGUGUCAAAGCCAUGUCUUACAGUCUUGGAACAAUAUUCUACUCUGGCACCUGCUACUCCAAGAUUAAACCCUCCUAUGAAAUAUAUUACUCUUCAAGGUGUAUGUCCCCAGCCUGUUGUCAGCACCCCAGUCCCUCCACAACUUCAAACAGAUAACCCAAUGCCCAGUCUCACUUCUGUUGCCUGUCCGACCACCCCCCUUCAGCAUAUGCUUAGCCUGUCUUCACUGCCUCAAGUUGUGAUCAGUAACUCAGUGGUUCCUGUUGCUCCAUCCACUGAAAUUCAGUCUGUUAGCACUAUAUUACCAGCAAGCUCUACCCUUCUUAGAACCAGUGCAACUAGUAGCACUCAGACUACAUGGACAACACUACAGCUUGCAGGAAAUACAGUGCAACCUGUGUCCCAGGCACUUGUCACAGAUGGUGCCAGCAUUUCACAUAAUCCUCAGCAACUUUUUGUAUGUUCAACUGGGACCAAACACAUUGAGGAGCCUGCUUCUAUCCAUUUGCAACCACAGGCUCCUGUGCAACUGCAAGCCCCAACACCAACAUGCAUUCCUGUUCAGCCAUCUGGGCCUAGACCUCCUCAGAUAUAUUCAGCAGUUGUACCAUGCCCUCAGAGAGCAGUACCACAACAGUCUUCAAUUCUAUCAGUGCCAGCCGUUGUAUCCCAAGCCGUAGUGGUCCAUCAGCCUGUUGAAACACAGACAGAACAGUUGACCAAUACACAAUCAUCUGUUCGGGCACAACCUGCAUUAUUACCAAAACCUCAACCCAACUCUGCUCUGAUGACCACCUGCAAGCCCACCCUACAACCUAAAAAUCCUGUUCAGCCUGCUCUGCCAUGCCAGCCUCAUUCUCAACCUACAGUGGUGCCCCAAGCCCAGUCUGCCGUUGUGCCUCAACUGCAUCUCAGUGUGGUGCCUCAAGCUCAGCCAAUCAUAAAUCCACCAACUCAGCCUGCCCUUGUGCCUCAGCCACAAGCUCCCACACUGCCAGUGUUACAGACAAUGCAGUUAUUGCAGUUGAAUUCUGAGGAAACACCAGUUGCUGUGACCUCCUCUCCUCCAAGUAACUCACAUGUUGUUAUUCUGCAACAGGGAGGCUCAUGUCCAGCACCACAGGUUCUCAGAGAGGAUGUCACUAGUCAGACACCCUGCCAGCACAUUGUCAUAAUUCAGGCACCUACUUUGACCCCUGCGCCACAGAGUCAUCACACUGCCGUUGUGUCAACUGCAACCCCAACGUUAUCCAGUCAAAUUACCACUUCAAACACUACCUGUACAGCUAGCAUGCAGGCAGCUGCUACAAAGCAGUUGGUACAUAUUCUUCCACGGCCCUCAACCCAAUUGCAAGCACAAGCACCUCAGACUAUCACUGUGAAUGGACAAGUUUAUGUUCUGCAGCCGGCAAAGUCACCAGAUAAGGGAAACUCUCAAUCUGGUCAAAGUGUAACUCAGAUACUUCAGCCCACCUGUGAGGAACCCACCUCCAAUGUUGCCAUGAAUUGUUUAGGUGCUCUAACUAGUCUUAGUCAGAGCAUUUCAAAGGUCUCAAGUCAAAGCAAUGUUCAGAUAUACUCCAUUGCUCCACCUUCAUACACUACUGUGCAACCUCUUCCGACAUGUGGUUCAGAAGUCAGCACUUCUAUUGAAACUGUUCUUUCUUCCUCUGUACCUGUACCCUCAAUUGCUGCUGGCAGUGCAGUUAAAAUUCUGCCAAAGAAAGGUUGUGGCACUUCUGGAAAUCAAACCAGACAAAACUCAGUUAGGAGAACCAAACUGGUGAAACGAAAGGAACCUAAACCCGGGCGAAGUUUGCGUAGAAUUGCUGUCAAGAAUAAGGCAUUUGUUGCAAAUGAUACAUGUUCUGAGUUAUCCACUGCAGCAAAAGUUGAUGAUUCGGUUAGUUCUUUAAAUAAAGAUAUGGUUACUCAUGAUGUUAACACGCAGAGAGGACCUGUCCCAAACAGUGUUAGUUCCAUAUGCAGUAGUUCUGCAGUCAUUAGUGUCAGUUCCUCCAGUGAAAAAUCAGCAGACAGUUCUGUUGUGCCUUCAGUAAAUGGAACUAUUGUCAAGCCCACACUGGCUGGUGGAGACUUUUCAAAGACUAAAGCAAAAUCUGAUGUCCACUUGCAUAACAAAGAAACAGUUAGUAGUAUCAGUACUGUAAGUUCUACUCAGGGUAACGUGGUUGUUUCUACAAAUUGUGGCAGCUUGAGUAAAGAAAUCUUUACUCCAGAUAUUGGUCCCCAGCUUAAUUGUUCAGCGGUUAGCGUUGCCCUCUCAUCACAGGGUAGCUCUGUAGAUACUGCUGUAACAUUGUCAGUUGCCUCAUCAGAAGUUCAUGUUAACUCUUCAUGCAGUGUGACCUUUUGUAGUGAAACUACUGAGCAGAAUAAGGUGAGUAGCAGUAAUGUUUGCACCAGUAGCGAAAGCAGAUCAACAGAAUCAAGACCCAGUUUUACAGAGAGUUCCCCUCCGCUGAUCACUGUAAACUCUGUCCAAAGCAAUUCAAAAGGUAAAUCUGUUAAUUCAGACCUUUGUCAGCCUCCAUUUCCAAGUGAUAGAUCCACACCAAGUCAACAGUUAGGUGUCAGUGCUAAUUCAACAGAGGUUGGUCCAAUGGUUUCCAUCAUGGCAAGUCAGGCCAUUUCGGAAACACAAGGGUCAGUGAACUCUUCUCAAAAUCAGACAUCAUUUAUUGUGCCCUCAACUUCAACUCCUGGCUCAGAUGUAUCUAUGUCAACACAACCUUUUCAGAUUCCAGAAACUUCUAGGAUGUCGGAUCCUUUCAAGUCCCUACAACGACCACCCACAAUGAAUAUGUCCAUGACAACCAGUAACCUAGGGAACUGUGCAGACUUCAAAUUGCCUGAUUCAAAUAUGAACACACAAUCUGGCAAGGAUGGACAAUCUGAUGGUGCCACGGCAAAGAGUGUGACAGAAAUGGGUGCUUUUGCUCAAAAAGAGACAGUUCCUCCACAAGUAUGUACAUUGGAAAAUGAUUCCUUUGAUCCUCCACUGGGAACCAAUAGACAGACUGAUUCGCCUCUUGCAGGAGGUUCAGGUGGCAGAGGGUUUUCUGUUGCAUCAUUGCUUCC